UGAGUACUACCCUAACUUCCGUGGCGAUCCACACCCUGGCGACGUGGUGCCGGUCUGGAGGAGGACAGAGAGACGUGGAGAUGAGUGAUGAUGAUGAUGAGGUAGGCUCAGACCCUGCUACAGCCCCAAGAGAGCCCUCACCCUGGCACUGACUGACUGGCUACAGGAGUUCCUCAGCACGGACCAGCCUGGAGGCCCUCGACUCCUGAACCCCACCCACCUGAAGAAAGAGUCCUCUGACGAGGAGCCCAUGCAAACUGACGUGGGAGACCCGGUGUACGUGCCAGGUUCUGGGGACAACCCCCUGUUCACAGCAGAACCCCUGACCCUGGACGAUCUCCAGCUACUCUCAGAACUGUUCUACCUGCCGUAUGAACACGGUUCUACUGCUAGACCAUGCUGACGGAACUGGA